GAAAAGUUCAACAUAAAUGAGAAUGCUUAGUGUAUAAUGCUUCUAGUGAACGCUUUUCGUCUUUCUUUAGAAAACAAAAAAUCUGUAGCAGGGUUUCACCAGUUAGAACACACUCAGGAGUUGUUUAAUACUCUGUUUAACUUGCGAGUAAAUGUUCCUGUGGAACUCGCUUCCCUCCUUCGUUAGAUGUUCACCCAGUCUCCACUCCUUCAAAAAAUCAUUAAAUACCCACGUCUUCAUAAAAGCGUAUCAAUUAAACUGUUAAUAGCUCCCGACUGAUUCCUCUCUUGCAACUGUCAUUAGUCUAAUGCUAUCCUUACCUUUUGUGUCACUUUACCCCACUCCCUCUAGCAGCUCAUUGAGCAGGGCCCUCAACCCCUCUGUUCCUGUGUGUCCAACUUGUCUGGUUACAGCUACAUGUUUGUUCGUCCACCCACUGUAAAGCGCUGCAGAACUUGUUGGCACUAUAUAAAUAAUAACAUAAUAAUAAUAAUAAUUAUGGUGUAAUUGCAUAAGACAAGAAAGGGAGGUUAUGAAAUGAGCUUCUUUAUUCAUUUCAAAAGCAGAGGAACUUUCUAGUUAUGUUAAAAGCAGCAAUAUAAACUAGUGAUGGUAAGUAAUCAAGGUUACACUGGACUAAUAAUUCUUCUACAUCGACGUGGUGUCUCAGCAAACUCCCUUACACAGGAUGACCGAUCUCUUUUGGUGUUUAGAGGCUCAAGAUUAUAUCUAGCACCAUUUGAAAUCGGUUAUGCUGUAAGGCAAAAAUCAUCAACAGCAAGUCACACACCUCUAUGGUUCAUCCUUCUUCUUGUUGGGCAUCGAUGAGACAAGACAACCUUCCAAAAGUUCUAGAAUACACAGAAAUAUCCUGUUCUUCUCAGCCUUGCUGUAUAUAGCAAAGGUAUAUGUUGUGAGGGAAGAGGUGCAUGCUAGGACAAUCUUGAGGAACCUCAAUUAAUAUUUGUCAUAUUUACACCUUGCUUGGGGGGCAGUCAUUAGGCUGCCUUAUUAAUCCCUAGGAUUUUCUUAUAAAAGUCAUUGGGAAGCUCAGAAAUCUCUUCUUUGCAUAUGUUUGCAUGACAUCAAUUAAUGGCAACAGGUAUGACAUCAGACAAUGCACCCACAAUAGUGUGGCCAUAGGAAGGAUGUCUGAGCAUAAUUUAUUUCAGAAACAUCUGUGGUGUCAAGGGUGCACCCUUAUCAUUAGGAAACACUGGGUUUUAAGUGCCCUGGGACAUUAAGGUUGGUUACAUUUGCAUCUCCUGCAAUUUUAUAUUUUAUUUGAGUGGUUUAGCAUCUUUACAAACUGCAAAUAAAAUUGUUGGUUUUUCAUUAAAGGCACUUUGUGGUGGUCAAUUAUUAAGGAGCUUAAAAAUAAAAUGGAUUGAUAAAACAUUUGUAUGUCUUUAUUGUGCAAUUUGACAAUAUUGUUCUGUGAAGCAGCAG